rfam:Myotis lucifugus cont2.13724, whole genome shotgun sequence.
CGUGCACCGGUGGGGUCCCUCGGCCUGGCCUGCGGCUCUCUGACAUCCCCUGAGGGGUCCUGGAUUGUGAGAGGGCGUAGGCCAGGCCGAGGGACCCCACCGGUGCAUG